GAUUAAUAACAUAGCUCUUUGGACCUCUGGUGACUUACAUACGCUGAAAGUUUUUAGAGGGCUGUUUUUGAUAUUUUAAACUACUACUAUAUAGAUUUGGCUAUCUCUUAGGAGUCUUCUGAAGAAAUACCUAUUUAAGAAAUGACUGAAAUCCUUACAGCCAAGACCGUACCAUAAUCUCCUGCUCCCCCCCUCAAAGUUAUCGUGGCUAUAUGCAGUAGCUUGAUACAGGAUAUGCCGUUUUAUGAUCUUACUCUUAUGCACUCUUUAAACUUUGUAUGAAAUACUCUCACUCUAUAUAUAUAUGCUGAAUCAUUUGAUUUGACUGCUCUUCCCGCACGGUAAUUGGACCCCUAAACUGAAUUAUUAAGGAAUAUAGGGAUACACCUUUAAUUGAAAAUGCCAAAUUAAAGAGGAAGUAGAGCAUAAACGGCCUUAUAGGAAAGAAA